UACGAAGGGGGCGAGCGUUGUUCGGAAUUACUGGGCGUAAAGGGCGCGUAGGCGGCCGAUCAAGUCAGAUGUGAAAGUCCUGGGCUUAACCUGGGGACUGCAUUUGAUACUGAUUGGCUUGAAUUCGGGAGAGGAUAGCGGAAUUCCCAGUGUAGAGGUGAAAUUCGUAGAUAUUGGGAAGAACACCGGUGGCGAAGGCGGCAUCCUGGACCGGUAUUGACGCUGAGGCGCGAAAGCCAGGGGAGCAAACGGG
rnacentral:rRNA from 1 species